GACAAAACCGGUCGUCCGACAGUGCUAAUAUUUUUCAAGUUUAUUUAAAUGAGCCGGCCGUGAUUUCUCCUCCGCACAUCGACCAGAAUCCGGCGUGGUGUUCGAUAUGACCCUUAUCCCAGCGGUUACAGGCGUGGCCGUGAUGGAGGUACGGAGCGGGCAAGAUUCUGCGAGAACCCGCUGCUGCCGUGGUUUAUAAACGGCCGUGCCGGCCAUGGUUUGGUGACGGUACUGACAUGGGUCCGAGCGCUGGCAACUUAAGGGGGAAAAAAUACAAAGAGUGAGAACUGCCUUGCUCGUAUGACCACUUGCUCUUCUUCACGGUGCGUUGCUAAGAUUCAAGAUUGCCUCUGCUUAAGCGCGUUUUCCCAAACGGAUUUACCUGGUCUGGUCCCGACGGCCAGUAGACAUAUUCGUGCCGGACCUGCUCGGCGUAGCAUGACGUCAGACAAGCGCGUCUGUUCGGGGCGCAAGGGACGACGCCGUUCGCUCCCCCAAAAAUAGCAGCACCAACACGGGCCGCAAGAUAUUGCGUGCCGUCUGCUGGUACUGUAGCGCCGUCCGCUAUCGUGUCGUCUGCGACCACGCAACCAGAUGGAGACCGACGGACGGGUUUUCGUCUGCCACGCCACGCACGGCCCCAUUCGGCGGUGGGUGUCGUCUGCUAUCGGCUCUGCACAUCUGCCGAGGUGCGUUCCUCACGCAUAGAGAAUGUUUCUUUCUCUUCUUUUUUUUGUUUUUGUGCUUGUUGCCGUUGCUCUCUUUUUAUAGCACUCUUAUCUCUACCUAUUUCCGAAAUGUAGGAGAUUCCGCGGCGCUUUAAUUAAAUACCGCGCGGGUCACGGAGACGCUUUUAGAACUCCCGUCACGUGUGCGGUUCUUUUGAUACUACCUGCGGGAAUGAAAAAUGUCUACCAGACCCGCACGGUCGUGUAAUUGAGCCCUGCAUCGUAUCGUUGCACCACUGAAAAACAGGCGGUCGUGGUUGUAUUACUGGGUUUCAUUGAUCGAGGCCUCCGCGCCGGUAUCCCUCGGUCCUCAAGUCACGAAUUUCAAAGUUAUUUUUCUCGUAUUUUCGCCGUCUUGGCGUAGAAAAUGUCUCAGGAAAUUGCUCGAUUGUGUCCCUAAUGCCUUAAAAAUGCGAUGUAGUCUUUCUUUAUGGAUAAACAUUGUGCUAGACCCCAGAAAAUGUCGUGAGAAUACAUUACGUCACGGCACGAUGGUGCGGAAACGUCACCACGACGCCAAAUGUCGUUAUAGCGUCUUUUUCUGGCUUGCUUAGCCUCCUAUCACAGCAGCAGUGUUUAUUUUGUUACUGCAGAAGCGUAGCUUACUAAUGCAG